rnacentral:rRNA from 1 species
UACGUAGGUGGCAAGCGUUGUCCGGAAUUACUGGGUGUAAAGGGCGUGUAGGCGGGAUAGCAAGUCAGAUGUGAAAUUCCGGGGCUUAACCCCGGCACUGCAUCUGAAACUGUUAUUCUUGAGUGUCGGAGAGGAAAGUGGAAUUCCCAGUGUAGCGGGGAAAUGCGUAGAGAUUGGGAGCAACACCAGUGGCGAAGGCGGCUUUCUGGACGAUAACUGACGCUGAGGCGCGAAAGCGUGGGGAGCAAACAGG